UAACUUAAUUAACCCCAACAUUCAAUUAAUUGCAGAGGAGAAGCAUACGGUACCUCCUUGCUGCACUAGACGGUAAAUGUGUGUUUGUGUGUAUGCGUGUGUGCAUGUGUUGGGUGGUAAAAGGGGAGGGGCUUAUUAUAAUCCUGCCCUCAUUUAUACUACAGGCCAAAAGUUUGGAAUGAUUAAGAUUUUUUAAAUAUUUUUAUUAAGAUGUCUCAACUUGACAGUUUUUAACAUUGAUUAUAAUGGUAUUUACAAAUGUUUCUUGAGCACCAAAUAAGCAUUAGAACAAUUUCUGAAGGAUCAUGUGACAUUGAAGACUGGAGUAAUGGAAUAAAUUACACUUUAAAAUAUAUCUAAAUAUAAAACAGUAAUUUUAAACUGUAAUAAUAUUUAAUCAAAUAAAUGCAGCAUUAGUGAGCUUACGAGAUAUUAAAAAAGUUUAAUUAUUCCAAACUUUUGACCGAUAGGGUAUUAAAAACCAUUCUUUACCCUUCCUCCUCGCUUGUUCCACAGAUACAAGUUCUCAGCAAACCAGUGUCCCAGAAUCGACAUGGCUUUGCUGAACAUUUUUCCCCAAACAACUGCGAACGGUUUUUGGUAGCGGGAUGGGUUAAUGUCAUGUACAUGUAGAUGCUAAGUACUUCAACCUGUACUAAGUGAAUCAAGAUAUUUUGUACGGUGUCAUCUCUCGGCUCUGGUGCUUUUUGUCAGAGCAGGCAUGUAAAUCUGUGGCCCUGGCGCUGAGCGUGGAAUGAGACUGUCUCUUCUAACCUUUUCCUCCUAUUUCUCUAAAAGCGGGCAUUCCCUGUAGCACACAGCUGUUUUGUGUCUCGUGUUACAGGCAAAGACUGUGUACCUGUUUGACUGAACAUACACUAACAAAUGAAUUUAUUGUUAAUAAAAAAACUACAACAUCUUAAGAAAUAUACAGAAGAAUGGAGAAACUACGUAAUGACGUUAUGGAAUGUUAAUCAAUUCUAGUGGUAAUAAUUAUUAUCUGCAUUAAGACAAGUAUAGUACACUUCAGAAGUGUAAAGCUGGAGAAAAACUGCAAUUUUAAUUCCAUUGACAGUUCUCCCAUUUAUACAGGGAGAUAUGCCAAUUUAAGCUUCCUUUUCAUUGUUUUUUUUUUAUGAUUCAAAUUAUAAUUUUUUUUUUACUUGCAGUGACACAAACCACAGCUAUGAGUCUGGCACAUGAUGGAUCUUCAGGCUUGUAAUAAUUGAGGGGUUUCAUCCCAUUCGAUUUUUGUAGAAUCUAUAUUAUUUCUAGAUUGUACUUUAAUCAACACAGCUGAAGAAUGUUCGGCCCUGAUAGCAUAGAUAGCCUGAAAUUUGGACAGUAUUAUGUAUAUGGGGCCUUGAACAAGGAAUGCUUUCAUACUGUUAUUCAAAUAAACGUAAAAGGAUUUGUGAGAUAUAUUAACGAUACUCUGAUACUGAUCAACAGAUGUUUCGUAUCACAAUAUAAUAUGAUUAAUGCAGUAUUUAACUUUUCCUUCUUAUCAUAUUUUGCUGUGAUAUGUAUAAUUUUUUUCAUUAAAAGCCUUUGAGUGCAUAAAUUAAAAUUAUUAUAAAUGAAAUAAGGUACAGAGUUCUAGAUAUUAUUUAACUUUGUCUUAACCAAAGAUUGGCUCUAACACAAAGAUAGUUUUUUUUUUUUUUUGUCACUUAUUAAUCUCUUCUUUCAUUUAAAAGGAUUUUUGAGAAUGUAGCAAAGGUGGUAUAUGAGUAUGCUAUGCAAAAUGCUCUCUCCUGAACUACCAGCAAAGAGUCAGACUGGGACAAAAUCAAAUACUUUUUCUUUUUUUCCUAUAUACUAAGAAAGAAAAUGAUUUCCUGCUGAAAUGUUGAAUCUUUACUUAUUAAUGUCUGUACAGUUAACAGCCUUUGAAUGCGCAUUGUAGCUGGUGGGAGGAGGAUUUCUCAAAGAUGAAAUGGCAUUUCAAAGUUUUCCAUUGGGGACUCAUUUGUAAAUGCUUGAGGCUGAGUGAACUUGUAUUUUUGCAAUAAAGUUAUUACCAAUGCACUCCAGCUGGGGCGCUGCACAAACGCCUA